UACGGAGGGUGCAAGCGUUAAUCGGAAUUACUGGGCGUAAAGCGCACGCAGGCGGUUGUGUAAGUCAGAUGUGAAAUCCCCGGGCUCAACCUGGGAACUGCAUUUGAUACUGGCAGGCUUGAGUGUCGUAGAGGGGGGUGGAAUUCCGGGUGUAGCGGUGAAAUGCGUAGAGAUCCGGAGGAACACCGGUGGCGAAGGCGGCCCCCUGGGCGAACACUGACGCUCAGGUGCGAAAGCGUGGGGAGCGAACAGG
rnacentral:rRNA from 1 species